CACCUGGGCUUCUGAGAGUCAACGUCAAAAAUAUCUGGAAGAACAGUUGGUUCCCUACUCUUCUUCUAUGGGAAGAAGAUGUAUAAUCUCAUAUAACCUCUAUAGUUGCAAGUGUGUCAGGCCCCCUUCCCUGCCGUCCUUUAGGAAAAUGUUAGACAGUGUUUUUUCAAGAAGUGAUCAAGGAUAUCCUCUCUUUUAAGUUAAUUGAUAUUUGUGUUCCCUGAUUCCACCAUUAUUUGGGUUUUUAACUAUUAUGUAUGCCUUAUUGAUGGCUAUAAAUAUUCAUAUUUUGGGGGGGUUAUGAUUUAUUUGCUGUAAACCAUGGAGAAUAGUGCUUAGCACUAAGUCAGGUGGUAUAUAAAUAUCUAAAAUAAAUAGAUACAUAUAAAAUCAGGUUCAUACUGUUCCCAACAGCCAGUUUUAUUACAUGCUGGACAUGAUCUGCAGGUGAGACCAUGAAACACGUUGCCAUCUAAAUGCCAACCACUAGCUUCUCUUGUGUCUCUUCCAUCUUUAGUUGCUGCCAUAUUUCUGGGACUCCAAAUACUUAGCAACUCUUCUGGCCACUGGAUGGUUAAAACCAUGGGAGGCUUUGUGGGCUGGGAGGCACUCAUGGUGAUCCUGAUGGUUGUAAAUCAGUGUUUCAAAAAGAAAGAAAUAUAUGAGGAUCCACAAGCCAAGGUGAAAAGUGAAAUAUUACUGCUGCAUAUAUGUGUGUGUGGAAACCUGGCAUUUUUAAUAGCUCUGCUUGUAGGCAUUGGAAGAUCUUAGAAUUAGUUUCCUGUUGGGUGGAAGAAUGAAAACCGCCUCUGCUCUUUUGCUACUUGGCAUUUCCAAAAAGAGACUGUCAAAAAUUUUAUCUCUUUGAUGCAAGGUCUUUUUGGCCAUUCUCGCAACUUGUUGAAAGCAGCCUGCUGUGCACAAUAUAAGGAAAUCUAUUUAAAUAUAAAUCAACAGAUGACACAUUCAAGGGCAAAAGUGGGUUCACACUGAUUAUAUGGUAUGGUCUGGAGCAAAUGUACAUCCUUAACACAUAAGGGAUACAUUUCCAUGGCAAUUGCUUCAUUUCAGUAGAUAUAAGCCCAGAUCAAGGGAAACUGUUCCUCUUUUUUGCUGAUAGUAACUUGAUAACUGAUUAAAAUUAAAAGUAAUCAGUUAUCAAGUUACAAUCAGCAAAAAAGAGGAACAGUUUCCCUUGAUCUGGGCUUAUAUCUACUGAAACAUAAGGCAAUGUACCGUUUCACUCUGAAAAAUCCCCCAGAUUUUAGCUAAAUUAAGGACUCUUAAUGAAUAGGCUUAAUUAAGGACUCUUCCAGACAGAGCAUUUAUUGUCCUUGAAGCACAGAGUUCUGCCACAGUAUCAGUACCUCCCCAUCUGUAUUGACAUUCCCCUUAUUACACUCCAUCCAAUAUUUGUUUCUUUGACUUUCUGCCCCUUUUUGAAGGCACAGCUUGGCAGGGAUGUUGGCAAGUCUUUGAGCUGGAGUCCCCAGUCCAAGACUGAGUCUUUGGUGCCAAGGGCCAAGCCUGAAGUUGACUCCCUAUCCAAAACAAGCUUUUUUCCCCAGGAAAAAAAAGAGAGGGUGCUGAAUCAUGAGUCAAGUCCGAGUCAUCGGAAAGAGGGAUGAGUGGUUCCGAAUCAUGAGUCAAGUCCGAGUCAUCGGAAAAACAACAACAACGUGUUGAGUCCGAGUCGAGUCACUGGUGCAAUUUAACUCCGACUUGAUAGCAAGUCCAGCAACUUGAAUCCCCAUCCCUGCAGUUUAGUGUUGUUUCCUACCAGGGGCAGAGUUUAGUGCCUCCCAUUUGCAAUGGAUCUCAAGUGAGACCCUCCAUUUGGAAGCUUUCAGUCACUGCUCAAAGCGGAGGUAGCCCCAGCAGUGAAACUCUCAGCAAUAGAGUGAGUUCCUUGAAGAAAAUCAAGAAAAGUAGGCUUUUAAAGAGAAUUUUGCAUGCAUGUCCUGGUAAGCUUGUGGGAUGGGAGUGGCAAAUGCUCUGUUUGGAGGAGUCAGAACUUGCUUAAUGGAAACGACAGUCCCAAUUCUCUUCCAGGGCUCCCACAUUCUUAAGGCUACAAUUCUGCACAGUUGCAGAGUUUUAAGAGUAAAUUCUGACGAGUGCUUUGGAAUUUACUCCUGAUCGUGAUGGUAAAGCCCCUGCGUUCAGAUAUAUGCAAACCCCGUGUGUUCAGAUAUACAUAGCACUUAUAUAUGCUAUGGCUGCCCCAUUCAUUUUAAAGGAACCGAGUAAGUGCUCAGAAUUUCCCUGGUGUGGAUAAAUCAGGUCCUUUGAUGAAAAAAGAAUUGGAACUUUUGAGGGUGUAGCAGAAACUCCUUCUGUGCCAUGGAGUCCUUACAACAGCAAACAAUGGUUGGAUCAAGGCACAUAACAACUUUCCCUAUUAUAUUAUGUCUAUUAUGUUUUUCCAUGAUUUUCCUGUUUUUGUAUCACCAGUCUAAUCCAGCAGGUGUUGUCAAAUCCUUGCCUCACCUCAAAAUUGCAUGCAUCCUUUACAGUUGAUAAAUAUACAGCUGAUAAAUAUAUAUGUUCUUGUUAGGAAUAGAAAGUGAUCUUAUAAGCUUAAAUGUCAAUAACUUUAGAAACAUGGAUUACAGAUGGGAACAAAAAUAUGUUGCGGGGGGACACUUCUUGUGUCUGUUGUAGACCUUUGGGUAGUGUGGGCGGGAUAUAAGUUAAAUAAAUAAAUACAUAAAUAAUUAAGUUUUCCUGGG
rnacentral:lncRNA from 1 species